AUCGAACGCUGGCGGAAUGCUUUACACAUGCAAGUCGAACGGUAGAGGGGGCAACCCCUCGAGAGUGGCGAACGGGUGAGUAAUAUAUCGGAACGUGCCCAGUCGUGGGGGAUAACGUAGCGAAAGUUACGCUAAUACCGCAUACGAUCUAAGGAUGAAAGCGGGGGUUCGCAAGACCUCGCGCGAUUGGAGCGGCCGAUAUCAGAUUAGGUAGUUGGUGGGGUAAAGGCUCACCAAGCCAACGAUCUGUAGCUGGUCUGAGAGGACGACCAGCCACACUGGAACUGAGACACGGUCCAGUCUCCUACGGGAGGCAGCAGUGGGGAAUUUUGGACAAUUGGCGAAAGCCUGAUCCAGCCAUGCCGCGUGUGUGAAGAAGGUCUUCGGAUUGUAAAGCACUUUAGGUCGGGAGGAAGGACUGUAGGCUAAUACCUUGCAGUUUUGACGUUACCGACAGAAUAAGCACCGGCUAACUUCGUGCCAUCAGCCGCGGUAA
rnacentral:rRNA from 1 species